rnacentral:snRNA from 14 species
AUACUUACCUUAGAAGGACCACCUGAGCUCAUGGUUUCGGGUUGUCACAUCGAGACUUGUCCAUUGCACAUCGCGACUUGGAUCGGUGUUGGAAAUCCUUCGGGGCUUCCACUUCUGUAAUUUUUGUCUCGCUUGCAAUUCAUGCAUUGCAAAA